GUGCUUGCUUCUACUGCACAUGUAUUAAAAUUAGGAUAUAAAGAAGAUUAGCCUGGCUCCUGCAUAAGGAUAACAUGCAAAUUUGUGAAGCGUUCCAUAUUUUU